UGACUGCAGCCCCAGGCUCAGGGUUGGACUAAAUUAGCAUUUCACCAGAGCAUCCGCUGGAAGACAGCAUGAGGAUGGGGCUGCCCUCUCUUCUGUCCCCAUAAGACCACGCUCACGAUUUUAGCCUUGUUUUCUCGAAUCAAGUGUUUCAAAUGGCUGAAAGUACAUCACAAAUACACUCAAGUGCUCAUGUAACUAAAACCCAGUUCACAGAGAGAGAACUCAGGCUUUCCCAGAGAAGUAAAUCAAGGGGACGCUUAGCCUCUGCAAGUGUAGUUCUAGUCAUCCUGGGGGCUGUUGUUGCUUUAAGUAGUAGUCAUCCCGAGGCAUUCAGAAUACCCUCCUUACUGAAUUUAAUUACACACAACUUUUUAAAAAUUCACCUUUUAUUUCAGGGGAGGCAUCUCUAUAUCUUCACUAAAAUCAGAAGGUAUUAGGUUCUUCUAAUCCAUGUGAAUUGUGAUUCUGUCUGGGUCCUACAUCAUUAGCAGUAAUGUUUCAAAAAAAAUAAAAGGUACUUCCUCUCCACGUGCAAAUGCUUUUAUGUUUUUGCCAUGAAACCUAGGUGUAAUUUAGCAUAUGACAGCGCUAUGAAGAUGGGCCAUUGAUGAUAUAUCAUUUGUACAUAGAUAACACACAUGAAACCACUAAAUGUUAAGUAUAAGAAACAUGUUUUUACCUUUAAAAAAAAGACUCUUUUUUCUCAUUCUGUUCUAUUAUGUCCAAAAGUUGUGUGUAAUUUUUUUAAGGUCCAGGAAAUGUAAAGAAAUUUGUUGGAAUAUCUGAAUUUCUGUAAAAAAAAAAUAAAAAUAAAAUUUUGUUACAUAAAAAAAUUAU
rnacentral:lncRNA from 1 species